ACAAGGGGCCUGAUCCAAAGCCCACUAAAGUCAAUAGGAGUCUUUCCACUGACGCCAGUGAGCUCUGGAUCAGGCCCAGAGU
rnacentral:pre_miRNA from 1 species